GACGAACGCUGGCGGCGCGCUUAACACAUGCAAGUCGAACGGAAAGGCCUGCUUUCCCUUGUGGAUUGCGGGUACUCGAGUGGCGAACGGGUGAGUAACACGUGAGUGAUCUGCCCCCAACUUGGGUAUAAGCCUGGGAAACUGGGUCUAAUUCCCGAUAGGACUGCAGGGUGGUGCCUGUGGUGGAAAACGAUUUUCUAGUGGUUGGGGAUGAGCUCGCGGCCUAUCAGCUUGUUGGUGGGGUAAUGGCCUACCAAGGCGGCGACGGGUAGCCGGCCUGGGAGGGUGGACGGCCACAUUGGGACUGAGAUACGGCCCAGACGCCUACGGGAGGCAGCAGUGGGGAAUAUUGCAGAAUGGGCGGAAGCCUGAUGCAGCGACGCCGCGUGGGGGAUGACGGCCUUCGGGUUGUAAACUCCUUUCGACCGCGAGGAAGCCACCUGGUUGGAAGGGUGGUGACGGUAGUGGUAGAAGAAGCACCGGCUAACUACGUG
rnacentral:rRNA from 1 species